rnacentral:rRNA from 1 species
GAUGAACGCUGGCGGCGUGCCUAAUACAUGCAAGUCGAGCGAACAGACGAGGAGCUUGCUCCUCUGACGUUAGCGGCGGACGGGUGAGUAACACGUGGAUAACCUUCCUAUAAGACUGGGAUAACUUCGGGAAACCGGAGCUAAUACCGGAUAAUAUAUUGAACCGCAUGGUUCAAUAGUGAAAGACGGUUUUGCUGUCACUUAUAGAUGGAUCCGCGCCGCAUUAGCUAGUUGGUAAGGUAACGGCUUACCAAGGCAACGAUGCGUAGCCGACCUGAGAGGGUGAUCGGCCACACUGGAACUGAGACACGGUCCAGACUCCUACGGGAGGCAGCAGUAGGGAAUCUUCCGCAAUGGGCGAAAGCCUGACGGAGCAACGCCGCGUGAGUGAUGAAGGUCUUCGGAUCGUAAAACUCUGUUAUUAGGGAAGAACAAAUGUGUAAGUAACUAUGCACGUCUUGACGGUACCUAAUCAGAAAGCCACGGCUAACUACGU